CGGACGGGUGGAGUAACGCGUGGGUAACCUGCUUACACAGGGGGAUAACACCUGGAAAUAGGUGCUAAUACCGCAUAAGCGCACAGUCUCGCAUGAGACGGUGUGAAAAACUCCGGUGGUAUACGAUGGAUCCGCGUCUGAUUAGCUUGUUGGCGGGGUAACAGCCCACCAAGGCGACGAUCAGUAGCCGGCCUGAGAGGGUGAACGGCCACAUUGGGACUGAGACACGGCCCAAACUCCUACGGAAGGCAGCAG
rnacentral:rRNA from 1 species